UUACGGACUCCAGUGGGCUGAGAGGGAAAUUUCCAUCCAGUAAUUGUUGAGGCAUGAGUGCAGUAAACUAUAUCCAAAUUAUGACUUAUAACUACAUGGUAAGAUUUAUUUCACUGUUUUUUCCUGUAAAAUUAUCAUCACUGUUAAUUGUUAGUGUUUUCUUAGAGACAUCAGUGCUGUUGUUCUUGUGCCUUCUAACUCCAAUUAUGAUAUUUGUCAUCCUAGUAAAAGAGCUUCUCUGCUCUAAUGAUUAUACAUUUUUGUUUGAACUUCAGCUGUCGUCUCUGUUUAAUGUAUCUCAAUGUACAACUUGUUUACUGAAGUCUUCAUUUUUUUUCCACAAAGAGAAUAUUAUGAUUUAUUUCCCAGUUUUAGUGGUUUUAUUCACAAUAAUGAAAUGUUCCUUUAUUUUAUUUCUUGCCACCUUUUGGAUGAGCAGUUAAGUAUAGGUACGUCUUACCUUUUGAAUGUUAACAAUCUAUCCAGAAUUCGCUGAAAAUUUAAAGGAUGACGUUUUCUUGAAUAUUUCUUAAAGAAUUCAUUGGCAUUUGUGCUGCUUCAUACAGACAAAGCUGGAUGUAUUUAAUUAUAAAUACUUCCUGUGUGGAGGAGAAUAGGUGAUAAUUCUCAGUGUCUGCUCCACUAAAAUGCUUUUUCCGUCUGUUAUUGAGUUAAAAGUUUGGCAGAUCAAUCACAAAUUUACAAGUACAUAUCCUAGACUAAGGACCGUCGAAACUUUUCCUCAUUGAAAUUUGAAUUUGUUCCUUCCAGUUCCAACUCUAUAAAGCGAGGGGAAAAAUAUAAUUUGUAAAUGGACAGAGGUGUCUCCUGGAAAACAAAUGGACAACCAUGGAAGCUAGCAGGGAAGCCAGACCAGAAAAGGGGGCAAUUAUAUGGAUGUGCAGCCACUCUGAAUGACAGGAAUUGCUUGAUGAAGGAAGAGAAUGACAGUGAAUGCAUUGCAGCAAUGUAGAAAUGCUUAAAGCCUUAUUCUUAACUGUGAGGAACUGGUGAAAGUCAAUGAGGAGAAAUAGCUGGAGAACAGCCGGGAGGUACAAGGGCUGCAGUGAGAAUAUGAAACAAUCUGCAGAAUCCCUAAAGAAGUGAGUUAGCAAAGCAAAGGUCUUAGCCCCUCAGUGCAAUUCCAACAUCAUAGGAAAUUUGCAUUUAGUCCUUGAUCAAAAUCCAUUCACUGUGUUUUGGUUCCAAGUCAGUCCAGUAAUUGGAAGAGUCCUGUAUUGUGUUUUCAUGUGACUCUGCCACAUUCGGGUGUCAGAGCAGAACAUCUGUCAACUUCCCCAAAAAAAGCUGCAUGGUGGGGAGUUUUGUGCAUCUCUUCACUAUACAGUAGGAGUUGCUGCUACAUCAGAGUAGCAAUUAGAAGCUUAAAAAGAGGUGCAAUGCAUUGAUGAGGGCUGAACAACAUGGUUUCCCCUUGGAUAAUGAGUGCUGUUCCUCUGCUGCUUCUAGAUUUUAGAUUCAGGGAAAAGGCUUUGAACUAAAUGAAGCUGGAUGCGAGGCACCUACACUGCUCUUUUGAUUAUGUCUGGUUAUGAAAUGAUAAGAUCUUGGCAACAACAAUAUCUGCUAAUUGUAACUGCUUGUUCUGAAUUUGUUUCUCAGUUGAGUUAUAGAGCACUAAAUGUUCCUCUCAACAUAUUUUUCCCUCCCUAGUAACACAAUGAAUCAUGAAGGACAUUUUCUAUGAGAGCUGGUGCAGCUCAGACCCAGCUAUAGGAGGAGAUUGAGUUGGAAACAGAAAUAUGUUGAAAGUACAGGCACUCACGUCACUGUUAAACAGUGGUGAUUUGCGUGUUUGUUUUAACUCCAUGUAAAGAACUUACUCAAUGGAAGAACUUACACAAGCUUAAAUGGUGAGUCAAGGUUUGGGUUUGGAUGUGAAUUUGGAUGCAUGUUAUGUCCACAACCCCACCUACAUCACAGAACCUGUUGAUAUUAAACUGGUUUAAGUACUUGGGCAGUAAAAGCCCCAUUAUUUUUUCCAGCCAUCUGCAUGUUUAGAACAGUGUAGCUGGGCUAAUUUUCUGUGGGACCAUGUUGAACUAGCUCCUGCACUAAUUAGAAAACUUGUUAUUUAGAAAAAGCAGAUCAGUUGCACUACCUGAUUGUAUUUCCAAAGUGUGUGUCAGUGGGGACAAACAGCUUUUAAAAGAUGUCUGUUCUGCACCA